GGCGGGCACAGCAGCGGGCACAGCCGGCCCUGGCACCGCGGGGUCGGGCGGGGGCUCGGGGCCCGCCCCGGCACCGGGCAGGCCGUGCUCGAGGGACAGUGCGAGCCUCCCCUCUGAGGAGCUGCGGGCGUUUCACUACCCGGAGGCGACCUGAAGGCUUCACUUCCCUGCCCCCUGAAGGCUUGUGAGAAAAGCGAGUGGUGCGGGUGUUCAUCGAGAAGAGGGGGUUUGGCGGCUGCCCCAGAGCAGUGGUCUGGGGACAUGUUUGAGUGACAGAAGUGUCGUGCCGCCUGCAGUGUCAAGCUCCGCUGUCCCCUGGGCACGGCAGCGGUUGGGGUGAGGUAGACCCAAGGAAUACACAGGAGAGAAUAUCCACAGAAAAAUUGCAGAAUACCAUUUCAUAGAGUUACCUGAGUCUACUUCAUAGAAUACCCUGAGUUGGAAGAGACUCACAAGGAUCAUG